rnacentral:lncRNA from 1 species
AUGUGCCUGAUUACAGCAUCGCUUAAAAGAAUCAUAUCUCCUGCUGUCAUCAAAGCAGCCAGAAGAGAAGAUUUCAGACGCUCUGACACAAACGGACAUAAGAAGUGUCUGCCGUGGUGGCCAAGCCACGCACCCACGCCAGUCCGCACACUACGCGUCUGUGCACCGGAUUGGCGUGCUGUGCCCCUACACACAGCGCGGUUAUCUGUCAAAAAAAAUCAACGUCAACGUGAGUUUCAAAAUACCAUGGAAGGACUGAGUGUGUUCUUCAGCACCAUGAUGAGAUUUUCACAGAGCGGGCGCGCAGGCUGGGCUCUUUCCUGUCAAAAUCCACGCCCUGGCUUCAGUUUCAAUUCCCGUCAUCACUGAAAGAGACCAGCGUCUGCCAGUGACACUGUGACAACUCAUAUGUCAAGUGGGAUCUUGAGACAGAAGAGGGACCGAGGAAAUCUGAAUAAAACAUGGCUUGUAGUCGGUAAUGAUGUGUCAGUAGCGGUCCAUUAAUUGGGACAAAUGUUCUCAGAUGUUAAUAAACGGGAAAUGGUGGGGGCUAUAUGGAACCCUGUGUUCUCUCUUAGCUAUUUUCCUGUAAGUCUAAGACAGUCCUAAAAUAAAAAUUUUAUUAAAAAAUAUAAUUAGCAAAGGAGCCUGUGAGUCAUGGAUGCUACUGGUGAGGAAGUGCUCAUCCCAGCGGCGUCCGUGCUGCUCCUGGCGAAACCGCCGAGGGGCCCCGCAGGUCUCCCCGGACGCCCCUGGUCCAGCUCCUCUCCCCUCACCAGGGUUACAGGGGCUGGAAGUGAGGGAAGAUAGAGG